GAUGAAGAACGCAGCGAAAUGCGAUACGUAAUGUGAAUUGCAGAAUUCAGUGAAUCAUCGAAUCUUUGAACGCAUAUUGCGCUCUUUGGUAUUCCGAAGAGCAUGCUUGUUUGAGUAUCAGUAAACACCUCAAAGCUUUUGGAUUUUUUAAUCGAAAAGCUUUGGACUUGAGCAAUCCCAACACCAAUCUUUUUGAGAUCGGUGGCGGGUUGCUUGAAAUGCAGGUGCAGCUGGACAUUCUCCUGAGCUAAAAGCAUAUUCAUUUAGUCCCGUCAAACGGAUUAUUACUUUUGCUGCAGCUAACAUAAAGGGAGUUUGACCGUAUUGGCUGACUGAUGCAGGAUUUCACAAGGGUCGGCAACGAUUCUUGUUAAACUCGAUCUCAAAUCAAGUAAGACUACCCGCUGAACUUAAGCAUAUCAUUAAGCGGAGGA
rnacentral:misc_RNA from 1 species